AUUGAACGCUGGCGGCAGGCCUAACACAUGCAAGUCGAACGGUAGCACAGAGAGCUUGCUCUCGGGUGACGAGUGGCGGACGGGUGAGUAACGUCUGGGAAACUGCCCGAUGGAGGGGGAUAACUACUGGAAACGGUAGCUAAUACCGCAUAACGUCGCAAGACCAAAGUGGGGGACCUUCGGGCCUCACACCAUCGGAUGUGCCCAGAUGGGAUUAGCUAGUAGGUGGGGUAAUGGCUCACCUAGGCGACGAUCCCUAGCUGGUCUGAGAGGAUCACCAGCCACACUGGAACUGAACCACGGUCCCGACUCCUACGGGAGGAAGCAGUGGGGAAUAUUGCACAAUGGGCGCAAGCCUGAUGCAGCCAUGCCGCGUGUAUGAAGAAGGCCUUCGGGUUGUAAAGUACUUUCAGCGGGGAGGAAGGCGGUGAAGUUAAUAGCUUCACCGAUUGACGUUACCCGCAGAAGAAGCACCGGCUAACUCCGUGCCAGCAGCCGCCGUAA
rnacentral:rRNA from 1 species